GUGCUGGGCCCGGGCGGGCGGCGGGUGGUGCCCCGCGCAGCCGGCGGGCACCGGCAUCCUGUGGCGGGUAGGUCGGGUGGCCCCUCGUGGGGCAACGAGGUGCUUGGCCCUAGUAGGGGUUAAAACAUGUUUGAUGAGGCUGCGCGUUGGCUUCUUGGACUAGGGGCCCGUUGCCGGGCUGGCCCUGCCGUCUGCCCGAGUGCUGUGAGGGGUUAGGCCGGCGAGGCUGAGCUGCCGAGGGAUGGAAGGGACGGGGAGCAGGAGCAGCGCUGCCUCCUCGGUCGUCACAGACAACAGUUUGGUGUUCUGGACUCUGUGCUCCGUGCUCCUGCCGGUGCUCAUCACCCUGUGGUGCAGCUUCCAGCGGUCCCGGCGGCAGAUGUUAAUCCGAGAUAUCUUUCGGAAGAGCAAGCAUGACUGGCACUACACAGACCUCUUCGGGCAGCCCUCCUACUGCUGCGUGUGUGCUCAGCACAUCCUCCAGGGCGCUUUCUGCAACUGCUGCGGCCUGCGUGUCAGCGAAGGCUGCCUCAAGAAGGCUGACCAGCUCUUUCACUGCAAGGAGAUUAUGAUGAGCAACAGCGGAGCCCGCAGCUCCAUGCUACACCACUGGAUCAGAGGCAACGUCCCGCUCUGCAGCUGCUGUAUGGUCUGCAGACAGCAGUGUGGCACACAGCCCAAGCUCUGCGACUACAGAUGUGUGUGGUGCCAGUACACUGUCCAUGAUGAAUGCAUGGUGGAUUAUUUAAAGACACAGAAGUGUACAUUUGGAGAAUUCAGAGACUUAAUUAUCCCACCAUACUAUUUGUCUACAAUCAACCAGAUGCGUAAAGAGAAAAGAACUGAUUAUGAAAAGGUAGCACCUUACUGCAGGAAACACUGGAUGCCAGUAAUUGUACUGGCCAAUACUCGCAGUGGAAACAACAUGGGUGAAACUUUACUAGGAGAAUUUAAAAUUCUGCUGAACCCUGUUCAGGUUUUUGAUCUAAGCAAAAUCACACCUGCUAAAGCACUCCAACUUUGUACCUUGCUGCCUUGCAACGCUGUCAGGGUUCUUGUCUGUGGUGGGGAUGGCACAGUAGGCUGGGUCCUGGAUGCCAUUGAUGAAAUGAAGAUAAAGGGGCAAGAACGUUAUAUUCCACAAGUUGCAAUUUUACCUCUGGGAACAGGUAAUGACCUGUCUAAUACACUGGGCUGGGGUGCAGGUUAUGCUGGAGAAGUCCCUGUAGAGCAAAUCUUACAAAAUGUCAUGGAGGCAGAUGGAAUCAAACUAGACAGGUGGAAGGUUCAAGUAACAAACAAAGGAUACUACAACUUAAGGAAACCAAAGGUAUUCACAAUGAACAACUACUUCUCUAUAGGACCUGAUGCUCUCAUGGCUUUAAAUUUUCAUGCUCAUCGUGAGAAGACUCCCUCUCUGUUUUCCAGCAGAAUUAUUAACAAGGCAGUUUAUUUUUUCUAUGGAACCAAAGACUGCUUAGUACAAGAAUGUAAAGAUCUUAACAAAAAGGUUGAGCUAGAGUUGGAUGGUGAGAGAAUCGAGUUGCCCAAUUUGGAAGGCAUCAUUGUCCUGAAUAUUGGAUACUGGGGAGGUGGCUGCAGGCUCUGGGAAGGAGUGGGUGAUGAACCUUACCCCUUGGCAAGACACGAUGAUGGACUUCUGGAGGUUGUUGGUGUUCAUGGUUCUUUUCACUGUGCCCAGAUUCAGGUGAAGCUAGCAAAUCCUGUUCGCCUGGGGCAGGCACAUACAGUGAGGGGUUUUUUAUUCCAGGUCUUGCUUUUCUUAAGCACUAACUUGAAACAUCAUUUACUUUGGUUAGAAGCUUUAAGUAAUUGCUCUCAGAAAACAGACUGGAGAUUCUUCUGGUUGUAAAAGAAAAUGCUGCCUACCUUGUUUGAGCACCCUUGGAGAAAGACAUCCUGUUGAGGCAAUGCUUAUAGCAAAAGUGGCAUUUUGGAUUCAGUAUUUCUUGGUUUUCCCACAAAACAGUAAGGUGGGAGUGAUCAAUGUGCUCCUGACAGAACAACCGUUUCCUUACAGUCCAGUUUGAGGUAGGUGUUAUUUAGUGCCCAAACAUAAGCUGAAGCUGUCCUUACCAUUCCCACCUCUCUUCCCAGGAAACAGAAUCUCAAUGCAAACCUGACUGCUCACAGCAGUGAAGUGUGAGAUUCUUUGCAAAGAAAUAACGGCCAAUGGCAUAUCGAAGCUUCAAUAUGUUUAAAGUCAACAUUGAUAAUUCUUUUUCUUGACACCAGUGAUGCUUUCAAAUCCCAAAUUGUUUCCCAUUGUUUUUUAAAAGGCAGCAGGCUGAAAUGAGAGGAUAAGGAGGUAUCACUGUAAAAUUUAUUAGUCAUAAAAGCUGCACAGCAUGUUCUUCAUUUGCUGCGUAGGCACAGGAAGUGUGGUUGUGGAAUGUCUUGUAAAAGCCUCUGCUCUGUUUGAACCCUCAUUGACUUCAUCCAGUGUUUCUGAAGUGGUUGAUGAUACAUACCAUUGCCCCCUGUAAUUGUGACGUUUGCUCAAAUCAUUACAUGUGGGUGAUGUGUAUUAUUUGGGCCAGGUUCUGUCUGUGAGAAGCUGCAAAUCCAGUGAAAUCACAGAACUCCACCUGGUUCUCUGCUGGUACUCCCGACUUACACAGGUGAAACUGAAGAAAAUUCAUCUUCAGUCAGUUGUAUCACGGCCUGUCUCUGUGACUUCAGCUCCCCAAUGCUCUUCUGAGUAACAUCUGCUCCAUAUUCUUCAUAGAAGUUUUGUAAAUGCAGUUUUCUUCACAGCACUGACUUUGUUACUGAAUUUCCUAAUGCAUCUUUUUGUUGUCUUGUUAUUUCUACUGUAUUUCUCUGUAGAUUAAAGUGUGUGGAUUAAAGUAUUUAAACUCAA